GACGAACGCUGGCGGCGUGCUUAACACAUGCAAGUCGAACGGAAAGGCGCGGAGCUUGUGGGGUGCUCGAGAGGCGAACGGGGGAGUAAAACGUGAGUAACCUGCCCUUGAAAGUCGGAGAAAAUCAGGAAACAGGGGCUAAAACAGGGGAGGAGCUCCUGCUGCACGGGGGGGGUUGGAAAGAGACGGCGGCGUGGGAUGGACUAGCGGGUUAUCAGCUGGUUGGGGGGGUAGGGGCUUCCAAAGGCUUUGACGGGUAGCCGGCCUGAGAGCGUGGCCGGCGACCUUGCUCCUGCGAUACGGCCCAGACUCCUACGGGCCGCAGCAGGGGGGAAUCUUGCGCAACGGGCGGACGCCUGUUGCAGCGACCUCGCGUUCGUGAUGCCCUCCUUCGGGUUGUAAACCGCUUUCUCCUGUGCCGAAGCCUGAUUGACGGUAACGGGUCAGGAAGCACCGGCUAACUACGUG
rnacentral:rRNA from 1 species